GAUGAACGCUGGCGGCGUGCCUAAUACAUGCAAGUCGAGCGAACGGACGAGAAGCUUGCUUCUCUGAUGUUAGCGGCGGACGGGUGAGUAACACGUGGAUAACCUACCUAUAAGACUGGGAUAACUUCGGGAAACCGGAGCUAAUACCGGAUAAUAUUUUGAACCGCAUGGUUCAAAAGUGAAAGUCGGUCUUUCUGUCACUUAUAGAUGGAUCCGCGCUGCAUUAGCUAGUUGGUAAGGGAACGGCCUACCAAGGCAACGAUGCAUAGCCGACCUGAUAGGGUGAGCGGCCAGACUGGAACUGAGACACGGUCCAGACGCCUACGGGAGGCAGCAGUAGGGAAUCUUCCGCAAUGGGCGAAAGCCUGACGGAGCAACGCCGCGUGAGUGAUGAAGGACUUCGGGUCGUAAAACUCUGUUAUUAGGGAAGAACAUAUGUGUGAGUAACUGGGCACAUCUUGACGGUACCUAAUCAGAGAGCCACGGCUAACUACGUG
rnacentral:rRNA from 1 species